GACGAACGCUGGCGGCGUGCUUAACACAUGCAAGUCGAACGGAAAGGCCCUGCUUUUGUUGGGUGCUCGAGUGGCGAACGGGUGAGUAACACGUGAGUAACCUGCCCUUGUCUUUGGGAUAACUUCAGGAAACUGGGGCGAAUACCGGAUAGGAGCUCCUGCAGCAUGGUGGGGGUUGGAAAGUUUCGGCGGUUGGGGCUGGACUGGCUGCUUAUCAGCUAGAUGGGGAGGUAGGUGCUGACGAGGGGUUCGACGGGUAGCCGGCCUGAGAGGGUGGCCGGCCUCAAUGGGCCUGAGAGACGGCGCAGACUCCUACGGGCCGCAGCAGGGGAGAAUUUUACACAGUGGCCGGGAGUCAGAGGCAGCGGUGUCGCGUGCGGGAUGCCCGGCUUCGGGGUGUAAACCACUGUCGCCUGAAACGAGGAGUGCUUGACGGUAACGGGUAAAGAAGCACCGGCUAACUACGUG
rnacentral:rRNA from 1 species